AUGCAAAAGCUUACAAAUUUGUCAGAGAAGAACUCCACGUCUACGCGCAAUAAUUAUUAAUGCUCCUUUCUUCAUAAUCAUAACCAAUUAUACUAGCCUAGAUAAGAUUACCAGUUCCUUGCUGCAAAAAACCUUCCAUUAAAAAAAAAAAAAAAAAAAAAACCAUCUUGUUCUCAACACUGAAUCCAAGGCAGCAAAAAUGGCCGACCCUGUUAUCGGUGCCACAAUUCAGGUCACCUUGGAAAGGGCACUGUCUCUUGCCUCUGAUAGGAUUGGUUUGCUAGUUGGGUUCAAGAAGGAUGUGGCCAGCAUGACUCGAUCUCUUGGCUUUAUCAAAGAUGUCCUGGCUGAUGCUGAGGAAAAGCAAAACCAAAGCAGAGGAGUGCAACGAUGGUUGAAGUGUCUCGAGGAGGUGGCUUAUGAUGCUCAGAAUGUGUUGGAUGAGCUCCACUAUGAAUCUCUUCAUCACCAGGUGGAGUCCCGAAUCCGACCCAAGCGAAAGGUAUGCUGCUUCUUCUCCUUCUCUAACAUUAAUCUUGCUUUUCGUUGGAGAAUGGCUUCUAAGGUCAGGGACAUCAAACUUAAGCUGAACGACAUCAAUCAACAAGCCAACGGAUUGGGACUGGUCAGUAGGUUAGGGAUGACAGCUGCCCUCCCUGCUGCUGUUGGAGACGCAAGAAAUCGGCAGACCGACUCUGUUCUUGUUCCAAUAAUUGGAAGAGCCGAUGAUGAAUCAAACAUAGUGAAGAUAUUGUUGAGCCCGUCUAAGAAGGUUGUUUCUGUUCUUCCCAUAAUUGGUAUGGGAGGUCUAGGCAAAACAACUUUGGCUAAAUCGAUAUACAACAAUCAGCAAAUUGACGGGCACUUUAACAAAAAGAUUUGGGUUUGUGUAUCGAAAAAAGUCCCAAUAGUGGAGCUUUUCAAACUCAUUUUAUUGCAAGUGACAGAAGAAAAGGUUGAAGUGAAAGAUAGGAAUGUCAUUGUUGGAAAAAUUCGGAAUCACUUGGGGGGAGAAAGAUAUUUCCUGGUCCUUGACGACGUGUGGGAUGAUGAUCAGGCAUUGUGGGAUGACUUUUUCACCACCUUGAAGGGGCUCAAUCCAACCAAUGGAACCUGGUGUCUUGUCACUACUCGUUUGGGUCUAGUGGCACAUAGUGUGUCUGGAGCUUUGAUGAUGGAAAAUGAACCCUAUGCCUUAGGAAGGCUACCUGAUGAUCAUUGUUGGUCUAUCCUAAAAGAAAAGGCAGUUGGAGGGCAAGAAGAACCGGAUGUACUAAAAGCAAUUAAAGAGAGAGUAAUCAAAAGAUGUGAUGGUCUACCAUUGGCUGCAAGCGUGAUCGGAGGUCUGUUACGUUUAAAUAGAAAAGAGGAGUGGCGAUCAAUUUUGGAGAAUAGGCUUUUGAGUUUGAGUGGAGAUGGAGAUCGUGUGAUGCAAAUACUUCAGUUGAGUUUUGAUAAUCUACCAUCACCAGCCAUCAAGAAAUGUUUUGCAUAUUGUUCUAUUUUUCCCAAUGAUGCUGAGAUGGAAGGGGAUAUGCUGAUCGAACUUUGGAUGGCAGAAGGCUUCCUUCAAGUAGAUCUCAAGAACAGAACGAUGGUAAACAAAACAAUGGAGGAAAUUGGAGAAUAUUACUUGGAAAUUUUAUUGCAGAGUUCUUUGCUGGAAGAAAUAAGAAGACAUGGGGAAAGGUAUUAUAAAAUGCAUGAUAUGGUGCACGAAGUCUCAAAAUCAAUAAUGUCAAAGUCUACUAAAUUCAUUAAUUCGGAGACUGGUUCAGGAGACAAUAGUAAUCAGGUUCGUUGUCUUGUAAUAGACUCAUUUGGAGAAGACACAAUAAAUCUUUUUGAGAGUCGAUCAAAUUUGCUUCAUACAUUGUUUCUGAGUCAGGGUAGCUUAUCUGAUGAUAUGCUAAUGAAGUUGAAGAAUUUGCACGUUUUGAAUUUGUCAGGUGCAAAACAUCAGAAUCUGCCAAUCUCAAUUGGCAAACUGAUACACUUGAGGCACAUUAACUUUGAGGGUUCUAGAAGUGAAACUUUGCCAGAAUCUGUUUGCAAACUUUAUAAUUUGCAGACACUGAGGCUAAACAGCUUGGCUCUUAAGGUUCUGCCAAAGGGGACGCGCGAUUUGAUUAGCUUGAGACAUCUCCACUAUUACACCUAUAAUGAAGAAUUUCAAAUGCCGUUAGAGAUGGGACGACUGACUUGCCUUCAGACGCUAGCAUUCUUUAAAGUGGGUCGAGAGAAGGGUCGACGAAUUGGAGAGCUUGGAAGCUUGAAGAACCUCAAAGGCAAUUUGGAGAUACACAAUCUUCAUCUAGUAAAGGAUAGAAAAGGAGCUGAAGAAGCAAAACUAUCUGAAAAGGCUAAUCUAUUUAGUUUGCGACUUAAGUGGGCCCGGCCUUGGCAUCGAGAAGGCCAUAACUACAACGACGAAAAAGUGUUGGACUGCCUUCGACCCCACCCAAAUUUGGAGGAGUUGGUAAUUGAGAAUUUUAUGGGUGAUCAAUUUCCUCGAUGGUUAGUGGAUUUGCCAACAGCAACAACACUCCCCAAGUUAGCGAGUUUGACAUUUAAUUGCUGCAACAGAUGCAGAGAACUCCUUCCCCUGCAAAACUUUAGGUCUCUUAAAGAGCUAGUGAUUACAAAUUGCGGUGGGUUGACGAAUCUGCCCGGUGACAUGCUACACUCGUGUGCCUCUCUCCAGAAGCUUCGGGUGACUUAUUGCUACAAUCUUUUCUCCUUCCCGCUUGAUUUGCAACAAAUGCCUUCUCUCUUGGAGCUGGGAUUAUGGAAGUGUCCCAAACUGAAAACAAGUACGACGCCCAAAGGAUUUGGUUUCCUAACCAGCUUAAGGAAGCUUGUAAUUGGUCCCUUCUCAGAUGAUGGUGAUGAUCAUGAAAAUUCUUCAAUUUACAAUGAGUUUGAUUGGUCUGGAUUGAUAUCCUCCUCCUCCUUCUCUUCGUCAUCCGCACUCCGUGAAUUAGAAUUAUUUGGGUUGCCACACAUGGAGUCCCUGCCACCUCAGAUCCAAUACUUGACCACUCUCACGUCACUAACGCUAGUUGUCUUUGGAGGUAUAAAAGCUCUGCCAGAUUGGUUCGGAAACUUUGCGGCUCUUGAAGACGUGCACUUAUGGUUUUUCAAAGAGCUUGGACAUCUACCCUCUGAGGAUGCCAUGAGAAGUCUCACCAAACUAAAACGUCUGGAGGUUUAUGGUUCUCCUCUGUUAAAAGAAAGAUGCACUCCUGAGAGCAGCGGCCCCGACUCCCAGUGGUCCAAAGUUUCUCACAUUCAAGACCUACGCAUAAGUUGAUUAAUAACCAACUUUCAUCUUUGGAUCAAAUUCAAUCAUGAUUGAUAGAAGAAUAGCUUCACGAACAGAGGUUAGAAUUUUGAAGCUUCUUCAGCACCGUCUAUAUGGCUAGAACUCAAUAACUUUUGGCCUGCAUUUCCUACAAAUAGCCUAUCAACGUUUAGAACAACUAGCAGUUUAUUUUUGUUUAUUUUGCAUGCUCUGCUUCUGUGGAUUUUAAGUUAUUAUUGCUAAAGUCAUCUCACUCUGUUUAAAAUUGUGAUUCUAAGGGGACUGAACUUUUACCUCGUCUCUUGAUAAUGAACUUGCAUACUUAUCUGAACUAUUUGAGUAGUAAUUGCUCCAUCGGAGUCAUAUAUGAUGGUUUUCUGGCUCACUUUUCCUUGAUUUUGGCUUUUUAUCCAUGAAGACAAUGGUCAAUUGAGGAGUUUUCGCAGCUGUUGGUUAUCACUUUCAUGUUUUGGUUCAAAAAUUUGGGUAAUUUUAGAUAUGCUUCUCUUCUUUCGCUGCUCAAUUUUGACUUUUAACCACUUUAAUAUCUAAUAUAUUACAUAUAAAAUAAGAGAAAUCUUGUCGUCACGAAGAUAUUUUUGAGGUAGCCAAGGAAGGUGUGCACUGUUUGGGCAAUGAAGUUGCACAAAACUUGGUGGAGUAUCUUCCAACAUUCAACUCAAGUCUGCUUGUUGUGACUUGCUGAUCUUAAUGAUAGAGGCUUUUAAGCUCUCUCUGCUUUUAUGAUUGUCGGUUGCUUCUUUUUUUAUGUGAUUUUAGGCACAAAGCUUAACAGGGAACCUCAUUGAUUUCUCUUUCAAAGCCCUACAAUUCCUUACUGGAUGGCAUUCUCUUUUUCUCUGUGCCUCAUAUGUCCAAAGUCUAAGAUAUCCACUGGGCUGGCCUCUGCAAACUGCCCACCAGAAUUUCUUUCCCCAGCUUAUGUAAUGUCUUUCAAGAUCAAGAGCCAUCAUUACCAUGAAUUUCUGCUAAUGAUCAUGGGGGGUUUGGUUGGUGAUAGAGCUUGUACUAGAGAAACAGAUUGACAAUGAGGAGCUUGCAAAUUUUCAAGAAGUACUGUAAGGUGAUAGAAAUUGUACAAUAAGAUGAUUUUGUUGCAAAAUAUCUGAAUGUUUAGAACGUCUGCUUCCAAGAUGUUGUCUAGUAAUGUAACAGUAAGAUGUUCAAGAGGAGAUUAUUUGAUGUGGACAGUUAAACAUGAUGUCAAAGCUGAAAACUUUUGUAUUUUCAUCUACGGUACAAAAUUCUUUGUUUUAAAUAAAAAAUAGCAGUUUACUUUUGCUCAUGCUUGUUAAACAUGAUUGCUGAAAGGAGCUAAUUCUCUUUAAACUCGAGAUUCUACCGGGAAGGAAAUGCUUGUUCUGAACUUCCAUCUCUUGGAAAUUGGCUGUAGGUUUAUAGCUCUGUAGGGAACCCUGAUGGCUCCUAAUCACCGCCUUUACUUUUCAAAGUCCUUUCUUUCCUUUGAAGUAUAUCAAGUGAUAAUUGGAGCAGCAACAGAGUAGGAUGAAAUGAUUGAUCUCUCUGAAGUUUCACACGUUGAAAAUGCAUUGGACAUUUUAGAUUUGAUACCACAAGCAGCAAUUCUACAAACCUUUUCUAUAAGACUACCAGUUCAUGGGGCCAGAUUAAAUCCACAUUGGGUUUUGGUGCCAAAUUAGCUUGUCAGUUAGUUAAGACAGUUUGGCCAUGAGGAAUAGAGGCACAAGCAUACCAAUAGUGGAUUUAGCUGAGACAGUAAGAGUAGCUUUGAUCAAGAGCAGCUUCUAUCAUCGUUGAUGUCCAGAAAAACCAAAGACAUUAGGCUGGCAAUUCUGAUGGAUGACAUCAACAAUUUAAGUUGUUUGUUUAAAAAAUGCUCAUUUUGUUUAGAUAUAGCAAAUGACAAUAUAAGUAAAUCUAUUAGUACUUAUGCAGUAAGUCUUUGUGGUGAAGAGGAAUGAAACAAUCCUCAAGGUGUUUAACACCUUUGUAUAGCCUCUCGGAACCGCUGCUUUACAAGUGUAAAGUUCUGAUUUUAUCAAUACAACACCUAUCGUUUUUGAAAAAAAAAAAAAAAAAAAAA